rnacentral:rRNA from 1 species
UUCGAUUGAGGAGGCCGGCCGGCGGCGCAUAUGGAUCGCGGUGCUGAUGAGCAGAAGGGCGGCGACGCGGCGGAGUGGAAGAAGGUGGGCGCCGAGCUGAGGGCCGUGGCGGAGGCCCAGGACGCCGCUGCCAAGGAAUCAAACGACUUUGCUCUGCGGAGGUUCCUACGGGCCCGUGACCACAACAUCGACAAGGCGUCAGCGAUGUUGCUCAAGUACUUGAACUGGAAACACACCGCCAAGCCACGCGGCUCCAUCACCGAUGAUGAGGUGCACGGUGAGCUCGUACAGUCAAAGCUCUAUAUGCAGGGCUUCGACAAGAAGGGACGCCCGCUGGUGUACCUCUGCAUCUAGAAAAACUUCCCUGCCAAGCGCAACCUCGAAGAGUUCAAGCGCUAUGUCAUCUACAUCCUCGAUAACACCUGCACUAGGUUGCAGGCAGGACAAGAAAAGUUUGCAGUGGUGGUGGACCUUUGGGGUUGGGGGUACGCGAACUGCGACAUCCGAGCAUACGUGGCGGCGCUGGAUAUCAUGCAGAGCUACUACCCGGAGCGGCUGGGGAGGGUGCUCCUGAUCCACGUGCCCUACGUGUUCAUGGCGGCAUGGAAGAUGUUGUACCCCUUCAUCGAUGAUAAGACCAAAGAGAAGUUUGUGUUCAUCGCCGACAAGGACCUCGACGCCACGCUCCGUGACUCCAUCGACGAGUCCCAGCUAGCCGAGGAGUACGGGGGCAGGCUUGAGCUUCAUGGCUAUAACGAUUCGUUACCACUGUCAUCGUGCAAUUAA